AAGUGGAGCAAUCCAUGAGUAUAGUGGCGACCGGGUGAGUAACACGUGACUACCUGCCCUUGAGUGGGGGAUAACCUCGGGAAACCGAGGCUAAUACCGCAUAAAAUCGAAAGAUCAAAGGAGCAAUCCGCUUUUGGAGGGGGUCGCGGCUGAUUAGCUAGUUGGUAGGGUGAUGGCCUACCAAGGCGAAGAUCGGUAUCCGGCCUGAGAGGGCGCACGGACACACUGGAACUGAAACACGGUCCAGACUCCUACGGGAGGCAGCAGUGGGGAAUUUUGCGCAAUGGGGGAAACCCUGACGCAGCAACGCCGCGUGGAGGAUGAAGUCCCUUGGG
rnacentral:rRNA from 1 species